rnacentral:rRNA from 1 species
ACGAAGGGGGCUAGCGUUGCUCGGAAUCACUGGGCGUAAAGGGCGCGUAGGCGGCCUUGUAAGUUGGGGGUGAAAGCCCGUGGCUCAACCACGGAAUUGCCUUCGAUACUGCUUGGCUUGAGUGUGGUAGAGGUUGGUGGAACUGCGAGUGUAGAGGUGAAAUUCGUAGAUAUUCGCAAGAACACCGGUGGCGAAGGCGGCCAACUGGACCAUCACUGACGCUGAGGCGCGAAAGCGUGGGGAGCAAACAGG